rnacentral:misc_RNA from 1 species
GAUGAAGAACGCAGCGAACUGCGAUAAGUAAUGUGAAUUGCAGAAUUCAGUGAAUCAUCGAGUCUUUGAACGCACAUUGCGCCCCCUGGCAUUCCGGGGGGCAUGCCUGUCCGAGCGUCAUUGCUGCCCUUCAAGCCCGGCUUGUGUGUUGGGUCGUCGUCCCCCCCGGGGGACGGGCCCGAAAGGCAGCGGCGGCACCGCGUCCGGUCCUCGAGCGUAUGGGGCUUUGUCACCCGCUCGAUUAGGGCCGGCCGGGCGCCAGCCGGCGUCUCCAACCUUCUAUUUUACCAGGUUGACCUCGGAUCAGGUAGGGAUACCCGCUGAACUUAAGCAUAUCAAUAAGCGGAGGU